ensembl:lincRNA
AUGGCGUUGCGACUCCCAGGGAAAAGCUGGGAGGCAAGCGGGGCGUGGGGAGGAAAGGCCAAGGCACACGGCGUGGGCGGCCCCUCACAGCCUUCCUCCGCCCCCUCCAUUCCGCACUGGUCGGGGGUGAAGGGGGGGAGCGGGGGGAGCCGCGCUGACGUCACUGCGGGCCGUGCCCGCCCGAGAAGGCGGCGCUGGGAGCCGCUCAGAGCCCAGAGAAGCGGCGCGCGGCCAGGAGCCCCCGCUCCGCCACUGCCGUGCCUGCCUCCCGCAGCUGUCUGCCAUGCGCUCGCCGGGGCAGGGGCGCCCGGAGAGCGGCGAGAGCUGGGCCUGAGCCCGGGAACGCGCCUGAUCAGGGGUGGCGGAGCCGCGGUCCCCACAGCCGCCCCACCCGCGCCGCUGCCUCGCUGGGGCCCGGGCCCCCUUCCUGGUCCUUACUCCCCUGCUGGUGCCUCCCUCCUUGGCGCGCUUCCCACCUGCGAUCGGCGCCCUCUUCGCAGUCACGAACUCGCCAGCAGCUAGCAGCACUGACUAGUAGGAGGGCCCGCCGGAGGAGAGGAAGCCCCAGAGAGAUUGGUGAGGGUGAUUUCCCAGGAAGACGCAGUGUGCUCUGACUUCUGUGACAGUGAGCAACGGGACCAGUGGAUGUCCAGAUGCUGGCAAUGA